rnacentral:lncRNA from 1 species
UUAAAAUGCAGAUUUUGAUUUGGUAGCUCUGGGGUGGAACCUAAAAUUUUGUAUUCCUAACAGUCUUUCAAGAGGUGUUAAUAUUGCUGGCUGAGGACCACACCUGGAGCAGGAAGAAUCUGGAUUCUGUGGGUUCACUGGCUCUCCUUAAAGAAAUGGGUGACUUUACCUAGAAACCCACUGUGCCAACUCUAUAGCCGGUACAGCUUGAACACUUGUAUCUAUGUAUCUACCUGUAUCCACCUGUGCUGGAA